CCUUCGGGGAACGAUAACGGCGUCGAGCGGCGGACGGGUGAGUAAUGCCUAGGAAAUUGCCCUGAUGUGGGGGAUAACCAUUGGAAACGAUGGCUAAUACCGCAUGAUGCCUACGGGCCAAAGAGGGGGACCUUCGGGCCUCUCGCGUCAGGAUAUGCCUAGGUGGGAUUAGCUAGUUGGUGAGGUAAGGGCUCACCAAGGCGACGAUCCCUAGCUGGUCUGAGAGGAUGAUCAGCCACACUGGAACUGAGACACGGUCCAGACUCCUACGGGAGGCAGCAGUGGGGAAUAUUGCACAAUGGGCGCAAGCCUGAUGCAGCCAUGCCGCGUGUAUGAAGAAGGCCUUCGGGUUGUAAAGUACUUUCAGUCGUGAGGAAGGCGGCGUCGUUAAUAGCGGCGUUGUUUGACGUUAGCGACAGAAGAAGCACCGGCUAACUCCGUGCCAGCAGCCGCGGUAAUACGGAGGGUGCGAGCGUUAAUCGGAAUUACUGGGCGUAAAGCGCAUGCAGGUGGUUUGUUAAGUCAGAUGUGAAAGCCCGGGGCUCAACCUCGGAAUAGCAUUUGAAACUGGCAGACUAGAGUACUGUAGAGGGGGGUAG
rnacentral:rRNA from 1 species